CGAACAAAAUUGCUGGUUUGUAAAACCUUGGAAGAGGCUUUAAGGAAAAUCCAGGAGCUGGAAAUGCAAGAUAAUUUGUGCCUGACUCUAGUACGAAGAAUUUUGGGAAGACGAUUUGGCCUAAAAAGACCUGUAGCAGUUAACAAGCUAUUAGAUGCACAAUAGCACAAAAUGACCACCACCACUAUCACCCUAAAGUGUGUGCUUGGUGUCUGUCUACACGUGCUUGCUUCUGGAAUGUUGAAGAACAAACUGUGUUGAAACGCCAACUGGAGUUGGUUAUGGACCUUUGCCGCCCUUCAUCCAGAGCCUUCCACAGAGAUGGCAGAUAUAUCGCUGCCUGGACCAACAGUUGACCAUGCCGUUGAGUCCAUGAUAUCAGUAGCAGCCAUGAAAACAUCUACAGAAUUACAUCUGCGGCCGUGGCUAUUAAUGGAUACAUUCUGCACCACUUCCAUGUGCUGUCAGUUUGAAACGUCUCUACUCUGACAGAAGGAAGGGAAUGAAUACCCAGGAUUGUUCCUCAGGAAAAUCUCUUCAACAGGCUGUUGUCAGUUUGCAUGCUCUUUGGAUGGAAUUACUCUACCUUGGCUUGCAGAGAAUCUGUGAUAUAAAAGACCUCUUUUGUGCUGCAUUGUGUCAUUGAUUUAUUGUAUUUUAUAUGUAUUAUGCCACUAUUGUAAAAACAAAUGGGCAUAUGUUUUAGCGUAUGUUUUCAAACAGACACAUUUAUAUUUCAAACAGACACAUUUAUAUUUUUGAAUAAUUUGAAAAUACAUUUUGUAGGUUGACUUCAAUCCAUGAAACAUUAAUGGUAGGUUAUAUUUGACCAGAACAUGACAAGUAUUGUUUUCGGAGUUUUUUGGUCGAAGGUGAAGGUAAUGGCUAACAGUGGUUAUUCUGCACAAUGAACCUUGAAUUCUUUGACCUAGGACCAUUAAUAUUUAGUGAUUGAUAUAUCAGUCCAACUCAUAUGUGAAAGGGACAUGAUGAAAUUGAGCAAGAGCUUAUUAGCAUUGCAAAUUAUUAUUUGUUCAUUUUUAGCUCGACUAUUCGAAGAAUAGGUGGGCUAUACUAUCAUUAACAAUUCUGCGUUAAAGUUUUCAUUUUAUGUAAUAAAAUCAAGAGUUUUUAUCCAAUGGUAAUCAAACUUGGUCAGACUAUUUGUCGGCAUGUUAUCUUGAAGAUGUAUGAAUAUGGGUCAUCCCUGGUCAAAUUCUAGGUCACUAGGUCACAUCUUAGAGAAAAUAUUUCCAUGUCAUAAAUUCAACAUUUUUUUCAUAUCUUUAUGAAACUUGGUCAGAAUAUUUGUCUGCAUACUAUCUUGAAAGUUUUUUAAUAUGGGUCAUCCCGGGUCAAAUUCUAGGUCACUAGGUCAAAUCUUAGGAAAAUCAUUCCACAUCAUAAAUUGAACAAUUUUUGUCAAAUCUUUAUGAAACUUGGUCAGAAUAUUUGUCUGCAUAAUAUCUUAAAAGUUCUAUAAUAUGGGUCAUCCCCGGUCAAAACCUAGGUCACAAGGUCAAAUUUUAGAAGAAAGAAUCCCACAGUCAUAAAAAUUCAUUAAUUUUAGUCAAAUCUUUUUUUAAACUUGGUCAGAAUAUUUGUCUACAUGUUGUCUUAAUCAUUUGUGAAUAUAGGUCACCUCAGAUCAAAAACUAGGUCACUAGGUCAAAUCUUAGGAAAUACUUUCCUGAUGUCAUAAAAAAAAUCCAUGCUUACCAAAGCUAUCCAUAUCAGUUAAUAACUAAAUUCAAUUGUUAUUUUAUAAACACACAUCCCAAUCAUGAAUUUCAGAUCUAACCAUAUUUUUCAAAAAUUUAAAUUUUAAUUAACUUUAAAAAUAUUUGUGUACAUGAAAUCUUAGAUGAUAAAGUGUGUCAUCUAGGGUCAAAAACUAGGUCUCUGGGACAGAUCUUUUUGGAAAAGCUGAUGUAUUUAUAAAAUGUUCGUUUUUCCUCACACAAAUGGAAUAGUUUCUGUUGAUCAGGUUAUUUGUAUGAAUGAUAUCUCCGAUAAAUAUAAAUAUGGGUCUUUUUGGUUAAAAAUACUAGGUCAUUAGCUCAAAUCCUAGGUUUGCAAAAUUGCAUUGUCAAAUAGAAAAUCAAGCUUUGCCGCGUUGGCGUCUUGUUAUUUUUUUUAUUUUGACAGGCACAUUUUUAUUAUCUUAACCAAAUCAAACCUUGUUUUGUCACAUUGUGAUUCUUAUUCACUUUUUUUAUUUAAUUGUUUUAUUAGCUCACCUGUCACGUAGUGACAAGGUGAGCUUUUGUGAUCACUCUUCGUCCGUCGUCCGUCCGUCAGUCCGUCCGUCCGUCCGUCCGUUCACAAUUGCUUGUGAACACAAUAGAGGUCACAAUUUUGACCUAAUCUUUAUGAAACUUGGUCAAACUGAUCAUCUCUAUGAAAUCUAGGUCAAGUUCGAUACUGGGUCAUCUGGGGUCAAAAACUAGGUCACUAGGUCAAUUAGUAGAAAAACCUUGUGAACACAAUAGAGGUCACAAUUUUAGCCUAAUCUCAAUGCAACUUGGUCAGAAUGGUCAUCUCUAUAAAAUCUAGGUCAAGUUCGAUAUUGGGUCAUCCGCGGUCAAUAAUUAGGUCACUAGGUCAAUUAGUAGAAAAACCUUGUGAACACAAUAGAGGUCACAAUUUUAGCCUAAUCUCAAUGCAACUUGGUCAGAAUGAUCAUCUCUAUAAAAUGUAGGUCAAGUUCGAUAUUGGGUCAUCCGCUGUCAACAACUAGGUCACUAGGUCAAUUAGUACAAAAACCUUGUGAACACAAUAGAGGUCACAAUUUUAGCCUAAUCUCAAUGCAAGUUGGUCAGAAUAAUCAUCUCUAUAAAAUCUAGGUCAAGUUCGAUAUUGGGUCAUCCGCAGUCAAUAACUAGGUCACUAGGUCAAUUAU